CCCGAGCGUUCAUUGGGGAGCUGACUGUCAAUCUGCAGUCAUCGACUUAAAGGUUCGACUCGAGCGCCAGCGAGAGAACGUUGCCAAGGGCAACGGACCGAAGGGUGAGGAGCUUUAGCUCCGAAUAAUCCUUCCCUCCUGUUGA
rnacentral:sRNA from 1 species